UCCCUAGAGGACUAGUGGUUAGGCCAAGGCGCCCUCACCGCCGCAGCCCGGGUUCAAUUCCCAGCCAGGGAA
rnacentral:tRNA from 1 species